UACGUAGGGGGCAAGCGUUGGUCCGGAAUCAUUGGGCGUAAAGAGCGUGUAGGCGGCCCGAUAAGUCCGCUGUGAAAGUCCAGGGCUCAACCCUGGAAUGCCGGUGGAUACUGUCGGGCUCGAAUCCGGAAGAGGUGAGUGGAAUUCCACGUGUAGCGGUGAAAUGCGUAGAGAUGUGGAGGAACACCAGUGGCGAAGGCGACUCUUUGGCCUGUAACUGACACUGAGGCGCGAAAGCGUGGGGAGCAAACAGG
rnacentral:rRNA from 1 species